UACGUAGGGUGCAAGCGUUGUCCGGAAUUAUUGGGCGUAAAGAGCUUGUAGGCGGUUUGUCGCGUCUGCUGUGAAAUUUCGGGGCUCAACCCCGAACUUGCAGUGGGUACGGGCAGACUAGAGUGUGGUAGGGGAGACUGGAAUUCCUGGUGUAGCGGUGAAAUGCGCAGAUAUCAGGAGGAACACCAUGGCGAAGGCAGGCUCGUGGGACGA
rnacentral:rRNA from 1 species